GGAGCGUUCUGUAAGCCUGCGAAGGUGUGCUGUGAGGCAUGCUGGAGGUAUCAGAAGUGCGAAUGCUGACAUAAGUAACGAUAAAGCGGGUGAAAAGCCCGCUCGCCGGAAGACCAAGGGUUCCUGUCCAACGUUAAUCGGGGCAGGGUGAGUCGACCCCUAAGGCGAGGCCGAAAGGCGUAGUCGAUGGGAAACAGGUUAAUAUUCCUGUACUUGGUGUUACUGCGAAGGGGGGACGGAGAAGGCUAUGUUGGCCGGGCGACGGUUGUCCCGGUUUAAGCGUGUAGGCUGGUUUUCCAGGCAAAUCCGGAAAAUCAAGGCUGAGGCGUGAUGACGAGGCACUACGGUGCUGAAGCAACAAAUGCCCUGCUUCCAGGAAAAGCCUCUAAGCAUCAGGUAACAUCAAAUCGUACCCCAAACCGACACAGGUGGUCAGGUAGAGAAUACCAAGGCGCUUGAGAGAACUCGGGUGAAGGAACUAGGCAAAAUGGUGCCGUAACUUCGGGAGAAGGCACGCUGAUAUGUAGGUGAAGUCCCUUGCGGAUGGAGCUGAAAUCAGUC
rnacentral:rRNA from 1 species